rnacentral:rRNA from 1 species
AUUGAAGGCUGGCGGCAGGCCUAACACAUGAAAGUCGAGCGAGCGGCGGACGGGUGAGUAAUGUAUGGGGACUGCCCGAUAGAGGGGGAUAACUACUUGAAACGGUGGCUAAUACCGCAUACUAUCGGAUAACCAAUAUGGGAUUAGAUCGUAGGUGGGGUAAAGGCUCACCUAGGCGACGAUCUCUAGCUGGUCUGAGAGGAUGAUUAGCCACACGGGUACUGAGGCAAGCCCCAUACUCCAACGGAGUCAGCAUGGGGGAAUAUUUAACAAUGGGCGCAAGCUGACUCCAGCCGUGCCGAUUGUAUAAAGAAGUCCUGAGGGUUGUAAAGUACGUUAAGCGGGGAGACUUUACCCGCAGAAGAAACACCGGGUAACUCCGUGCCACCCGCCGCGGUAAUAC